rnacentral:rRNA from 1 species
CCGUGCCAGCAGCCGCGGUAAUACGGAGGGUGCGAGCGUUAAUCGGAAUUACUGGGCGUAAAGCGCAUGCAGGCGGCCUGUUAAGUCAGAUGUGAAAGACCCGGGGCGUUAACCUCGGAAUUGCAUUUGAAACUAGGCAGGCUAGAGUCUUGUAGAGGGGGGUAGGAAUUUCAGGUGUAGCGGUGAAAUGCGUAGAGAUCUGAAGGAAUACCAGUGGCGAAGGCCGGCCCCCUGGACAAAGACUGACGCUCAGAUGCGAAAGCGUGGGGAGCCAAAACAGGAUUAGAUACCCCUCGGUAG